UCCAUGCCUAGCAUCAUAGGGAAAAACAGCUGGAGCAAUUGAAGUUAGGGUUAAGGAUCUCAAGGGCUUGGACUUCUCAGAGAUGAAGAUCUGGAUCACUCCAUCAGGCAAGCAACGAAGACCAGAUGAAAUGCUGCUUGAAGGGCUGGCAUAUCUAGAAUUGGUGGUAGAAAUAUCUUUGCUUGAAAGUUUGCUCAAGAAACACCAUGCAUAUUUGACAUCAUAAGGAAAGAAAUGAGCAGAACCAUACAUCCAACUUACAUUGCAAUUACUGCAGAGGAAGAGAGAUGGAGAAGUUAAAAUGAAACAUUUCAAGGAUGAAUGGGCACUGAAAAUUGGUAAAGUGGCAGAAAAGUCCAAGCUUGAAGAAUGAAAAAGUAAAUGUAUGGAGAAAAAGGAGUUUGGAAAACAGGAAAAAAAAAGAUAUUUUGCAGAAACAUCUGUUUGCUGUUGCUAAAAAUUUUAGCAUUUAAAUGUUCUCAUUUGGGCUCUGAAGUUAGCACUUCCUUGAAGUAGUUCACACCUUUGCUAUUGCUCCUGUUCAGCUACAGAUCAUUUUAUGCAAGGCUGAUUUUAACAAGAAAAUGGUGCAUUAAUUUACAAUGUGUUGAGUGUUUUAAAAGUGGCAAAAUCUAGGCUUUUGUAAAAUUUUAGAAUCUGGAAAAAAUAGAAAUACUUAUAUAAAGCUCUUCAAAAUACCAGAAUGGCUUUAUGCACAAAAAAUUACAUGCUGAUUAAGAAAAUUAGAAAAUUCGGUAAUAAAAAAAGAAGUACAUCUA
ensembl:lncRNA LINC01052 long intergenic non-protein coding RNA 1052